rnacentral:rRNA from 1 species
UACGGGGGGGGGCAAGCGUUGUUCGGAAUUACUGGGCGUAAAAGGGCUCGUAGGCGGCCAACUAAGUCGGAUGUGAAAUCCCCCAGGCUCAACCUGGGGAACUGCAUCCGAUACUGGAUGGCUUGAAUUCGGGAGAGGGAUGCAGAAUUCCAGGUGUAGCGGUGAAAUGCGUAGAUAUCUGGAGGAAUACCGGUGGCGAAGGCGGCAUCCUGGACCGACAUUGACGCUGAGGAGCGAAA